UAUUGUCUAUUAUUUGUCUUAUUAUUAUUAGCAAUGGCUUUUGUGUUGCCAACAUUCAUUUUGGCUCUUAUUUUAUUAUUCAUUUUCUAUGAGUUACUAAAUAUCAAAAACAAGAAAAAACUUCCUCCUGGUCCAAAAGGCAUUCCAAUAUUAGGACAUCUCCAUCUUUUAGGUGAAAAUCUUACUCAUGAUUUACACAAAUUUUCUCUAAAAUAUGGUCCUAUCAUCUACAUGAAAUUUGGAUUGGUACCAACUUAUGUUAUAUCUUCCCCUGAAUCAGCAGAAAAAAUUCUCAAAACUUAUGAUCAUAUUUUUGCUAGUAGGCCUCAUAACGAGACCGCUCAAUACAUAUCGUAUGGCCAAAGGAAUUUGAUUUUCUCAAAGUAUGGCGCAUAUUGGCGUAACAUGAGAAAAUUGUGUACGGUCCAUUUGUUGAGUAACAUGAAGAUUAACUCAUUCCAAUCUACUAGAAGUGAAGAAAUUGCCAUUAUGAUCAAAUCGAUCAAAGAAAUAGCUCAAGGUCGUGUUGAUGUUGAUCUUAGUGCUCAAGUGUCGAAGUUGAGUGCCAACUUGAGUUGCUUAAUGGUUUUUGGGAAAAAGUUUACGGAUGAGGAUUUGGACAAAAGGGGAUUUAAGUAUUUAGUUCAAGAGGUUACAACUCUAGCUGCAACACCAAAUCUUGGUGAUUUUUUCCCUUUUCUUGGUGUUAUUGACCUCCAAGGACUCACACGUAGAAUGAAGGAUACUUCUAAGGUGCUUGAUCCAUUUGUAGAGAAGAUUAUUGAUGAACAUGUCAAUGCUAAGGACCACAAGAAAAAUAAAGACUUUGUAGACACUAUGAUGGAAAUUAUGCAAUCUGGUGAAGCAGAGUUCCAAUUUGAUCGUCGCCAUAUCAAAGCUGUCAUGUUGGACAUGCUUGUGGCAUCAAUAGAUACAUCAUCAAGUUCAAUUGAAUGGAUGCUGUCAGAGCUUCUAAGAAAUCCAGACAUAAUGAAGAAACUCCAAAAAGAAUUAGAAGAAGUAGUAGGCCUAAACAGAAUGGUACAAGAAUCAGACUUAGAAAACUUAAAAUACUUAAACAUGGUAUUUAAAGAGUCAUUUAGGCUACAUGCUGCUGCCCCAUUACUACUUCAUGAAGCCAUGGAAGAUUGUAUGGUAGAUGAUUUCUAUAUCAAAAAAGGAUCACAAGUUAUUGUCAAUGCAUACACUAUUCAUAGGGAUCCUAAUUUUUGGACCGAUGCUGAUAAGUUUUGCCAGAGAGAUUUCUUGAAAGUAACGUAGAUAUUCGUGGACGUGAUUAUCAACUUUUACCAUUUGGUUCUGGUAGAAGAAGUUGCCUCGGGAUGCAAUUGGCAUUAAUUAUUGUUCGUCUUGUGGUGGCACAAUUGGUUCAUUGCUUUGAUUGGGAACUCCCAAAUGAGAUGCAGCCUAAGGAUUUGGACAUGACUGAGCAAUUUGGUAUAGUUACAGGCAGGGCAAAUCAUUUAAUGGCUGUUCCAACUUAUAGGCUACAACACAGCUGAUUUUGGGAAAUUGAUUUUUAUACAUCUAGUUAUAAUAAUUUAUAUGAUCUUAUAUAAUAAAGUUUCUUUAGUGAUUUUGAUUGAUUACUUCUUUGUAUGCAAUAAAUAUGUUAUUGUUUUUGUUAUUACUUCUGAUAAAUGAUAUAUUGCAAACUUUUGCUUCUAA